rnacentral:rRNA from 1 species
UACAGAGGUGGCAAGCGUUGCUCGGUAUCACUGGGCUUAAAGGGCGCGUAGGCGGUGCGGUACGGUUUCGGUGAAAUCCCUCGGCCCAACCGAGGAACAGCCGGGGCUACGGCCGCGCUAGACGGCACCAGGGGACAGUGGAACUUCCGGUGGAGCGGUGAAAUGCGUAGAUAUCGGAAGGAACGCCGGUGGCGAAAGCGACUGUCUGGGGUGCCUGUGACGCUGAGGCGCGAAAGCCAGGGGAUCAAACGGG